rnacentral:tRNA from 1 species
GUUCCUGUAGUUAAAGUACAAUAACGGUGGUUUUUCAGGCCAUAAAUCCUGGAAAAAGGCCAGGCAGGAACU